rnacentral:siRNA from 1 species
CUAGAGUGUGCCUAUAAAAGAAGG